rnacentral:rRNA from 1 species
GAUGAACGCUGGCGGCGUGCCUAAUACAUGCAAGUCGAGCGAACAGAUGAGGAGCUUGCUCCUCUGACGUUAGCGGCGGACGGGUGAGUAACACGUGGAUAACCUACCUAUAAGACUGGGAUAACUUCGGGAAACCGGAGCUAAUACCGGAUAAUAUAUUGAACCGCAUGGUUCAAUAGUGAAAGACGGUUUUGCUGUCACUUAUAGAUGGAUCCGCGCCGCAUUAGCUAGUUGGUAAGGUAACGGCUUACCAAGGCAACGAUGCGUAGCCGACCUGAGAGGGUGAUCGGCCACACUGGAACUGAGACACGGUCCAGACUCCUACGGGAGGCCGCAGUAGGGAAUCUUCCGCAAUGGGCGAAAGCCUGACGGAGCAAAGCCGCGUGAGUGAUGAAGGUCUUCGGAUCGUAAAACUCUGUUAUUAGGGAAGAACAAAUGUGUAAGUAACUAUGAACGUCUUGACGGUACCUAAUCAGAAAGCCACGGCUAACUACGUG